rnacentral:pre_miRNA from 1 species
UUAGUACUCUCUCCGUUCGGAAUUACUUGUCACAAAAAUGGAUGUAUCUACAACUAAAAUACAUCUAGAUACAUUCAUUUCUUGAACGAGUAAUUCCGAACGGAGGGAGUAUUUA